rnacentral:tRNA from 1 species
GCUGAUAUAGCUCAGUUGGUAGAGCGCAACCUUGCCAAGGUUGAGGUCGCGAGUUCGAGCCUCGUUUCCCGCUCCA